CCUACGGGAGGCUGCAGUGAGGAAUAUUGGUCAAUGGGCGAGAGCCUGAACCAGCCAAGUCGCGUGAAGGAUGAAGGAUCUAUGGUUUGUAAACUUCUUUUAUAUGGGAAUAAAUUGAGUAACGUGUUCCUUUUUGUAUGUACCAUAUGAAUAAGCAUCGGCUAACUCCGUGCCAGCAGCCGCGGUACUACGGAGGAUGCGAUCGUUAUCCGGAUUUAUUGGGUUUAAAGGGUGCGUAGGUGGUUAAUUAAGUCAGAGGUGAAAGUUUGUGGCUCAACCAUAAAAUUGCCGUUGAUACUGGUUGACUUGAGUAUAUUUGAGGUAGGCGGAAUGCGUGGUGUAGCGGUGAAAUGCAUAGAUAUCAGGAAGAACACCGAUGGCGAAGGCAGCUUACUAAACUAUAACUGACACUGAGGCACGAAAGCGUGGGGAGCAAACAGGAUUAGAUACCCGAGUAGUC
rnacentral:rRNA from 1 species